AAAAGAGCCAUGUUCUCAUUUUGGAUAUGUUUGCAAAGUCACUAAUGAAUUCAACAACUCAUAUUCAGUAAUUACCAUUAUACUUUUUUUUUUUUUAAAUAAUGAGUUUAAAUUCCAAAGAAACCUGGCUUCUUUUCCUCCCUCUGUCUCCACACAGGAAAGCUGUUGAAUAAGCAUAAUCUAUUUCUUAUCUUUCAGGAAUGCAAGCUGGUUCACAGUGUAAGCAGCUAAGCAGAAAGAUUUCAUUCAUCUCGUUCAUUAAAAUUCAAAUAAUUAUAAAGUCAGAGAUGUUAACUUUUCAGUUAUUACAAUACAGCUGGCAAACAGAGACUGUUGCACCAACUGGGAGACUUGAAGCCUCAUCUUUGGUGGCCAGGAGCUGCCCACAGAGCAAUCAUGUUGGAAGUGAAAAAAGAGGAAGAUACAUUUCGUUUCCUCCUCAUAUUUGUCUUCCCCUUAUCUUCAUCCAGAGAUGGUAUCUUUGGUCCUCUUGUCAGAAAAAUGUUUCAUACGUGAAGAAUUUCAACACAGUGAUCCAGCAGAUUAAACUCUCACACUUCUCUGUUCUUGGCCUGAAAGCUGAAAAUGAAUAAAGAAAAUGUGUAGUGAGGAGAAGCUUCUAGCAAAAGUAAUUCUCUUGGCUUCAAGAAUGAGGUUUGAGGUGAACAAAUCAACUUGGUGUUCCCAUAUGGGCCCAAGAGGAACUAGUUCAGAUGGGGACUGGGAGGCUCGGCAAUGCGAACUGCUCUGACUGCCAGCUCUGCAACUUUAAAGCCCCAGCAUGUGAGAGCUCACUGGAUAAAGAAGUCCUUCCCAUGACUCCAGCUGCUGGCUCUAUCACUUCUGGCUAAUGAGAGACAGAAGCAGAAGAGGAAGAAGACAAGUGGCAGGAGACGGCAGCAAAGGUGCCACAGAUAAGUAGGGGGGAAGGAUAAAAGGGGAGUGCUAGUCUGUUAGACACUUUUCCCAGCACAGUACCUGAGACCUGAGGCUCAACAGUCUGCUAUCAGCAAAUACCUGUGAAACCACUGAUAAAACUAGCCUGGUAGUCCUUUCAGGGGAUGGCUCAAACAGUUCACUAUUGCCAUCGAUUGCAUCAAGUCACCCACUGCCAGAGACAUGGAGCUUUUAUCCCUUCUGAGAUAGUCAGCAAAGACUAUUCUCAUGACAAUGACUUGGCCAUUUUCAGCUUUGCAUUGUUUAAAAAGGGAAAGUGAAGAAAUUAGACCAGUGUUAAAAUAACACUAAGAUUGCAUAGUCAAGCACCAAAGAGAAGGAACAUACCAGACACAGGCUAUGAAAUGUAUCUGUCUUUGGCCUUCUUGUACCUAUGUAGUAGGAUAUGGCUUCAAAAGAAGUGACUACAUACUCAUUUUCUCUGGGCACCCUGCUUCUCAUUCAGAGCAGAGAAUGGCCAUUACUUAAAACAUCAGAUGUGGUGAAUGUACAGCGUUGUAUAGGACUGCUUCAUCCAGACAUGGAAAAUAUGUCCUGGGUUAUGCAAGGGGCUGGACGAUGGCUUUAGUCUGUCGUUCUCAUAUUCCACCUCAGUACUGGCAUGAAUCACAAAUGCUUUCCAUUACAAUAGAAGUCAUAGGAAACUGCUUUUU
rnacentral:lncRNA from 1 species